rnacentral:misc_RNA from 1 species
AGUUUAACGGUCCGGGCAACUGUUGUGUAAAGGGUCGCCGGUGUAUGUUCGUGUGACCGAAAUUAUGCAGCUCCGCAUGAAAAUGCGGAGUGAAGGACGCAGCAGGGAAACCUGCAAUGACCGUCGUGCAAAGGAUCACAGAAACACGCCACUAAUGUCAACUGACAGAGUGGAAAAAUGUGGCUUUACGGAAAUGUUCGCGUAAAAUUUCCGGGGCUGCAAUAGUAAAUGAUGUACCUGGUA